UGGAAGUAAAAAGUUCGUAACAAGGUUUCCGUAGGUGAACCUGCGGAA
rnacentral:rRNA from 1 species